rnacentral:rRNA from 1 species
GACGAACGCUGGCGGCGUGCUUAACACAUGCAAGUCGAACGGAAAGGCCCUGCUUUUGUGGGGUGCUCGAGUGGCGAACGGGUGAGUAACACGUGAGUAACCUGCCCUUGACUUUGGGAUAACUUCAGGAAACUGGGGCUAAUACCGGAUAGGAGCUCCUGCUGCAUGGUGGGGGUUGGAAAGUUUCGGCGGUUGGGGAUGGACUCGCGGCUUAUCAGCUUGUUGGUGGGGUAGUGACUUACCAAGGCUUUGACAGGUAGCCGGCCUGAGAGGGUGACCGGCCACAUUGGGACUGAGAUACGGCCCAGACUCCUACGGGAGGCAGCAGUGGGGAAUAUUGCACAAUGGGCGGAAGCCUGAUGCAGCAACGCCGCGUGCGGGAUGACGGCCUUCGGGUUGUAAACCGCUUUCGCCUGUGACGAAGCGUGAGUGACGGUAAUGGGUAAAGAAGCACCGGCUAACUACGUG